rnacentral:sRNA from 1 species
GUGACAAUUUUCAUUCAGCUACUUAAAAUUUUUAAUGAAAUUAUUUUGAAAAGGCGACAAAAAAACUGAAAAUUUCAUAUUUAAUUUUCAUGCAAUUCAAAGCACGAGUCCUUCAACUUAAACUACGUUGUUGACUAUUGAUGCCACACAUACGAGAGUACAUACAACACAAUACCCAACUGUGCGAGUGUGUGUGUGUGAAUGUACACAUGAGGACAAUCUCUUAGAAUUGUAUUUACUGGACAAUAAGCAUAGGAACAACAGCAACAACUACUACAACAUGAAAUAAAUGCGACAUCGUCGACGACGACAACAAUGACGAUGACAACAAAAGCCACAAUAGUAUGCAUAUGAUUAAAUGCCGAACAAGGGGCUUGAUAUUGCAACAACAUCGAGAACAACAACAACCAUAAAACAGAAGCUUUCUUUCUUUUCACUCCCGCUUUCUCUCCCUCUCUCGAUUGGGAAUAUUCCGUUGUCAUUGUUGUAGCAUUGACAUUUCAAUGGAUUCAUUUGUGUGAGUGCAGUUCACAAGCCUUCAAUACCUGACAAUGUCAAUGAUCAAACAAAGUCGAACGAUGACAACGCUGUCAUUUAUGCCAACAACAAUGCUGGAUGAUGUGUCGAUGCAAACGAUGUCUAUUACCUCAAUGAAGAUGACGAUGAUGAUGAUGGAAAAGACUACGACUUCCAUGAUGAUGAUGAUGAUGACAAACGCCGUUUCAGUUCGAAGCUGCAGUCAACACGAAUAAUUUCUCUGUGACACAAAGACAAUUUCAGUUCUAC